rnacentral:rRNA from 1 species
AACGUAGGACGCGAGCGUUAUCCGGAGUUACUGGGCGUAAAGCGCGGGCAGGCGGUCUGACAAGUCUGAUGUGAAAUCCCCGGGCUUAACCUGGGAACGGCCUUUGUGACUGCACGGCUAGAGUGUGUCAGAGGGGGGUAGAAUUCCACGUGUAGCAGUGAAAUGCGUAGAGAUGUGGAGGAAUACCGAUGGCGAAGGCAGCCCCCUGGGAUAGCACUGACGCUCAUGCACGAAAGCGUGGGGAGCAAACAGG